rnacentral:lncRNA from 1 species
UUAAUGGUCACCAUGGCAACGUGAGAAGGGAUCGCAUCCCCUACUGGUGGAUCUGUCCUGCAUCCUGGAGUCUCUGAAAACGGUCCUUCUAGAAGACUGCUGACAUCUGUCAGGUUGGACAGGAAGGAUGCGCUCAUAGAAAUGCUGGUGUGCACUUUGGACGGAGACCUCUACCCUCCCCUGGAGGAGCCCACUGGUACUGUAGACCCCAAGAAGAAGAAGGUCAAAGACGAGGUCAAGAGCUUUGUGUGGAACCAUGGCAUGAUGGAGUACCAGGUGCAGGUAGACGGUGUGAAGGCCAAGCUGAAGGAGAUGGGCGCCAGCAAGAAACAACAGGAGGACCUCAUCAUGAAGGUGGAGAACCAGGUGCUGAAACUGGCCUCGCUUCAGGAGCAGCUGGACUCACUGAUCGAGAAGUGACCCAAGUGACCACCAGGGGGCAGCCAAGCGUCAAAUGGGUGCUGUGAGACCGGCUGGGGAAUAGAGAAGAAGCAUCUGCCACCACUGAAAGAGCACUCCUCCUUUACAUACAGUUUCAUUCCAUUAUAUAUUUUCCCUUUUGCCUCCAGACAUCAUGGACUUGUUGGAGGACUCGUGUUUCCUGUUUUUGUAUUCUUCCUAUUUUAUUUAAUAGGUUGGUAGAUCUCUGUAAAUAAACUCUUUGUUAAGCCAUUGAAUCGUUUGUGUUUGACAUUUCCUAGUGACGGAUCAACACUGUCUCACCUCAUUUGACCUAGCAAUGGAAACCACUGAGUCUGAC